AAUACGGAAGGUCCAAGCGUUAAUCGGAAUUACUGGGCGUAAAGCGCGCGUAGGUGGUUUAUUAAGUUGGGUGUGAAAGCCCCGGGCUCAACCUGGGAACUGCAUCCAAAACUGAUUCACUAGAGUACGAAAGAGGAAAGUAGAAUUCACAGUGUAGCGGUGGAAUGCGUAGAUAUUGUGAAGAAUACCGAUGGCGAAGGCAGCUUUCUGGUUCUGUACUGACACUGAGGUGCGAGAGCGUGGGUAGCGAACAGGAUUAGAUACCCUGGUAGUCCACGCCGUAAACGAUGACAACUAGCUGUUGGAAAGCUAUGCUUUUCAGUGGCGCAGCUAACGUCUUAAGUUGUCCGCCUGGGGAGUACGGCCGCAAGGUUAAAACUCAAAUGAAUUGACGGGGACCCGCACAAGCGGUGGAGCAUGUGGUUUAAUUCGAUGCAACGCGAAAAACCUUACCUACACUUGACAUACUUGGAAUCUUUUGUAAUGAAAGAGUGCCUUUUGGAGCCAAGAUACAGGUGCUGCAUGGCUGUCGUCAGCUCGUGUCGUGAGAUGUUGGGUUAAGUCCCAUAACGAGCGCAACCCUUACCCUUAUUUGCCAGCGAUUCGGUUGGGAACUAUAAGGGGACUGCCGGUGAUAAACCGGAGGAAGGUGAGGACGACGUCAAGUCAUCAUGGCCCUUACGUGUAGGGCUACACACGUGCUACAAUGGGGAGUACAGAUAGACGCUAAAGCGCGAGCUGGUGCUAAUCUCAUAAAACUCUUCGUAGUCCGGAUUGCAGUCUGCAACUCGACUGCAUGAAGUCGGAAUCGCUAGUAAUCGCGAAUCAGCAUGUCGCGGUGAAUACGUUCUCGGGUCUUGUACACACCGCCCGUCACACCAUGGGAGUGUAUUGCACCAGAAGUGGGUAGUCUAACCUUCGGGAGGGCGCUCACCACGGUGUGGUCCAU
rnacentral:rRNA from 1 species